rnacentral:lncRNA from 1 species
AUAGAAGAUACCUCCCAUAUAGCCACCAAAGAAAUAGGAGUAAUGCAUACUGAUAUUGGCCAAGUAGUGAUAAUACCUCCAGAGAGAGAGAGAGAGAGAGAGAGAGAGAGAGAGAGAGAGAGAGAGAGUACCAGGACGUUGAUAUUCGGCCGGAAUUCGGGAUGCCAUUGAAGCCUCAAGCAUGAGAAGAGAGAAAACGAGGGUCAGAAGACAAAAGAGUUUCUUGCUCUCCAUUUCUCUUGUGGUUUCCUCGGCUCUUUUCUUAGUCGCUCAACUUAUGAACUUGACUAAGAGACAUUUACUCACGCAAAGUCUUGUUUAAUAAUGCAAGAAAAGCUGCGGAUACGGAAGCGACACGGACAGCUCGUCCGUUUGUCGCUUCUCUCCUCU